rnacentral:rRNA from 1 species
GAUGAACGCUGGCGGCGUGCUUAACACAUGCAAGCCGAACGGUGAAGCAGGAGCUUGCUCUUGUGGAUCAGUGGCGAACGGGUGAGUAACACGUGAGCAACCUGCCCCUGACUCUGGGAUAAGCGCUGGAAACGGCGUCUAAUACUGGAUAUGUGAUGUGACCGUAUGGUCUGCAUCUGGAAAGAAUUUCGGUUGGGGAUGGGCUCGCGGCCUAUCAGCUUGUUGGUGAGGUAAUGGCUCACCAAGGCGUCGACGGGUAGCCGGCCUGAGAGGGUGACCGGCCACACUGGGACUGAGACACGGCCCAGACUCCUACGGGAGGCAGCAGUGGGGAAUAUUGCACAAUGGGCGGAAGCCUGUUGCAGCAACGCCGCGUGAGGGAUGACGGCCUUCGGGUUGUAAACCUCUUUUAGCAGGGAAGAAGCGAAAGUGACGGUACCUGCAGAAAAAGCACCGGCUAACUACGUGCCAGCCGCCGCAGUAA